CAGUCGCCGCGGUAAAACGAAGGGGGCUAGCGUUGCUCGGAAUUACUGGGCGUAAAGGGAGCGUAGGCGGGUCGUUUAGUCAGAGGUGAAAUCCCGGGGCUCAACCUCGGAACUGCCUUUGAUACUGGCGACCUUGAGUAUGGGAGAGGUAAGCGGAACUCCGAGUGUAGAGGUGAAAUUCGUAGAUAUUCGGAAGCACACCAGUGGCGAAGGCGGCUUACUGGCCCAUUACUGACGCUGAGGCUCGAAAGCGUUGGGAGCAAACAGGAUUAGAUACCCCAGUAGUCCCUGUCUCUUAUAC
rnacentral:rRNA from 1 species